GACCCCGGAGGGUCCGAACUGUCUCAGCGGAGAAAGGGGACAUAGUGUGCUGGCGAGCGCUGGCUGUUGGCGUUAGAGCUCCGGCUGUGGCUCAGUCUGGGGCGCGGUUCUUGCCAACACACCAUGUCCAGAGACAGGUGACAAAAAAAAAUUCAAAUUUCAAACCAGCUCUGGAUGUAAAUGAAAAACACAGGGUCCCACUUAUGUUAAGGCAGGCAUGUCUUUCGCCUUCUUACUCGCACCUUCCGCUAUGGAUUCGCUCUUCAGGGGGCACUGAGACAUCCUACAGUGCCCUGGACGGCCCACCCCAACCAUGGUAUCCGUUGUCCAACCGUUUUGGAUACCCCAGAAUCGGUCUCCCUUAUCCCCCCUUACAGCUUGGUGCACUACCCCCUUCUUACCUUAGAUAACUACUCCUCCAUUGUGAAAUGAAAACUAGGCAAAGGCGAAUUUCAUUUCAAACGUUAUAAACGGUGUAUUGGGUCUUCUCUUGGUGUCUGGCCUUCCUUCAGGGUCGUCUCUCCUAACUGGAGUCAGUGCUGGAGCGGCUGAGCAGUGCCCACGCUUUCCUCUUGUCUGUCCGUCCGUCUGGUCGUGGCCUAAGUUCGCAAAGCGAACACCAACAACAGUAAGGGCUCCUUUCCGCCCAAAAGGUCUAGAAUCUUUACCCCCUGGCCCUAGGUUGAGCUCGACCUAACAGCUGAGGACAGCGCCUAUUUAUUCUAGCGCUGUGUUACUAAUAGAAAGGAAAUAUGUGUGUCAAGGUCCUGUCCGUCCGUCUGAGUUCACGUAUACGUCCCGCAAUAGUGUUCGUGAGGAAAAGGGUACCUGCAGCACUGUCGGCUGACCAGUGCUUUUGAUAUAGAGCUUCCCACGAUGGACAAAGGAGGUGGAGGUGUAGCUUUAUGUUUUCGCGUUUGGCUUUUUGUUAUUUUGUGAUCAACUUUAGUGGUGUCUAUUGUCUUUGAUUUUCAAGUUUAGGAUUUUUAACUAUUGACUUUGAUUUAGUUUUUAGUUUUUUUUUUUUUUAGGUCUUUUAUUAUUACAUUGGUAUUUUCCUUUUUUUUCAGGUUCUUUGGCUUUGUUUCGAAACUUUUCCCUUUUCAGGUUCCUUUUUAUUUAAUUUGAUAACAUUUCUUUUUUUUCCAGAGUUUUCAUAGAUUUUCUUUUUCAGCUUUUAAUAACUUUCAGUUCGAUUUAUUUUAAUCACCUUUUUUUCAUAAUCUUCUUUUUCAGCUCUUUAGUUUUUAAUUUGUAUUUAUUUUCAUUUAUUUUGUUACAGCUUUUAAAACUUCUCAAUAAUUUAUAGUUAAUUUUUUUCCUCUUUCAGCAAAUGUGCUGAAAGUUCAAUAAAUCACUUUAAAACUUUGAAUUUGGUCUUUUUCUUUGUUGUUGGGUAAAAGCCAGUUCCGCCUCCUUUUCUCUGCCGAAUCCAAAACCAAAAAGACUUUCUUUCUUUUUGAAAACACCACUUUCAACACUCUUCUGUACACCACCUCUUACUCCUUGCACGGCUCCAUCCAAAAAGAACUAGUCAUCUUCCCUUUACUGUCCAUCAUGGUUCCCCCAAGCCAUCAUGUCCACCGAGGAACCAUCAUAAAAUUUUGUUUUCCAAAAUCGCAAAAACAAAUAACAUAUGGUUUCCUCGAUUUUCAUUGUAGUAGUUACAUUUGUAUGUGGAGGUAACAUAUGCUGGUAACGCAG